GAUGAACGCUGGCGGCGUGCCUAAUACACGCAAGUCGAGCGAACGGACGAGAAGCCUGCUCUUCUGAUGUUAGCGGCGGACGGGUGAGUAACACGUGGAUAACCUACCUAUAAGACUGGGAUAACUUCGGGAAACCGGAGCUAAUACCGGAUAAUAUUUUGAACCGCAUGGUUCAAAAGUGAAAGACGGUCUUGCUGUCACUUAUAGAUGGAUCCGCGCUGCAUUAGCUAGUUGGUAAGGUAACGGCUUACCAAGGCAACGAUGCAUAGCCGACCUGAGAGGGUGAUCGGCCACACUGGAACUGAGACACGGUCCAGACUCCUACGGGAGGCAGCAGUAGGGAAUCUUCCGCAAUGGGUGAAAGCCUGACGGAGCAACGCCGCGUGAGUGAUGAAGGUCUUCGGAUCGUAAAACUCUGUUAUUAGGGAAGAACAUAUGUGUAAGUAACUGUGCACAUCUUGACGGUACCUAAUCAGAAAGCCACGGCUAACUACGUG
rnacentral:rRNA from 1 species